rnacentral:tRNA from 1 species
GUUUUAGUAGUUUAUAAAAACAUUGGUCUUGUAAACCAAAAUAGAGAUACAACAUCUCCUUAAGCC